GACGAACGAGGGAGGAGGGAGGAACACAGGCAAGUCGAACGGAAAGGCCCUGCUUUUGUGGGGUGCUCGAGUGGCGAACGGGUGAGUAACACGUGAGUAACCUGCCCUUGACUUUGGGAUAACUUCAGGAAACUGGGGCUAAUACCGGAUAGGAGCUCCUGCUGCAUGGUGGGGGUUGGAAAGUUUCGGCGGUUGGGGAUGGACUCGCGGCUUAUCAGCUUGUUGGUGGGGUAGUGGCUUACCAAGGCUUUGACGGGUAGCCGGCCUGAGAGGGUGACCGGCCACAUUGGGACUGAGAUACGGCCCAGACUCCUACGGGAGGCAGCAGUGGGGAAUAUUGCACAAUGGGCGGAAGCCUGAUGCAGCAACGCCGCGUGCGGGGUGACGGACUUCGGGUUGUAAACCGCUUUCGCCUGUGACGAAGCGUGAGUGACGGUAAUGGGUAAAGAAGCACCGGCUCCCUACGUC
rnacentral:rRNA from 1 species